rnacentral:misc_RNA from 1 species
GAUGAAGAACGUAGCGAAAUGCGAUAAGUAAUGUGAAUUGCAGAAUUCAGUGAAUCAUCGAAUCUUUGAACGCACAUUGCGCCCCCUGGAAUUCCGGGGGGCAUGCCUGUUCGAGCGUCUCAGGGACGAACCCUCGCGCGGGUGUACGCGCGGUCGUGGCUGCGGUGGCGUGCCCGAGGCGGCGGCCACCGCGCUGGAAUCCAUGGGCGGACGCCUGCCGCGUGGCCGAGCGUGAUAUGACGCAUUGGCGCUCGCACGCGGCGAGGCUGCCAGCCCUGGCCCGUCUGUCGGGCGGGGGAGAGCAAGACACGUGAACUCCUCGAAUCAGGUAGGGAUACCCGCUGAACUUAAGCAUAUCAAUAAGCGCAGGA